CCUGAUCAUGGCAGCCAUGGACAAGGAUCCCACAGUUGAAACACGACGGGACUGUGUCCUUAAAGCGCUCUGCGUCUACUUGAAUGAAAGUUCCGAGAGCUUCAUAAAGGAAUAUUUGGAUGUUGAACUUGCAACAACCCAAAUGGAGCCAAUGGUAUUGAGACUCUAUCUCGUGAAACACGAAGGAGCAGAACCCGGGGAACCACUUGCGGAUGUUGGAUGAUGGACCAUCAUCGAGGGUGUUGGAGUGCUGCGAGAGCUGAAAUACUUGGCAAAUGGAUGGGCAGUAUUGCUUGGACUGAUUUACAGCCUCAAUCUGAGCUACCCCAAGGACCUGAAACAUACAUUUGAAUUCAUUCAAAAAGUAUUGAUGGGGUUGGAUGGCAACAGACUGUCAACCAAGGUGCAGGUUCUGAAAAACAGAUUACAAGAGUAAUCCCAAGGACAAAAUACUGUGACAGAGAUAACGUCCAGUUCAUUUCCAUCUCGGUACAUUCUCUCACACACACAC